AUUUCUUCCAAAGAAAAAAAAAACAUUGUGAUGGAAGCUCUAGGAACCGAUACUAAACAUGGUCGUUGUUGCGUUUGCAUGGUGAAAAACAAAAUAUGUACCAGAAAAUGUGAAUUUGCUGCAUAUUUUCCAAAUGAAAUGCAAGACGAUUAUGAAGCUGCUACUAAACUGUUUGGUACACAAAAUAUUAUAAGAAUGAUGAAACUUGCUGCUCAUGAACAAAAACAUUUGUUAGCAUCAUCGAUACUCAAAGAAAGUGCUGCAUGGACCGAUGAUAAUAUCGGAGGUGGAUAUGGAGUGAUACAAAAGCUGAGGUGGGAAAUCGAAUUACAUGAAGCCUCCCUCUCUAAGAUAAGGAUGAAGAUUUCAGAAGAAAAAAAACAAUUAGUUCUACUUUCAAAUCAGUAUAUAUAAUGAAAUUUAUCUAUCUUGAUUUAUCCAAUAAUAAUUAUUCAAUGGUUAAUUA